rnacentral:rRNA from 1 species
ACUGAACGCUGGCGGCAUGCCUUACACAUGCAAGUCGAACGGUAACGGGCCUUCGGGCGCCGACGAGUGGCGAACGGGUGAGUAAUGCAUCGGAACGUACCUUUCAGUGGGGGAUAACGUAGCGAAAGUUACGCUAAUACCGCAUAUUCUGUGAGCAGGAAAGCAGGGGAUCGCAAGACCUUGCGCUGAUUGAGCGGCCGAUGUCAGAUUAGCUAGUUGGUGAGGUAAAGGCUCACCAAGGCGACGAUCUGUAGCGGGUCUGAGAGGAUGAUCCGCCACACUGGAACUGAGACACGGUCCAGACUCCUACGGGAGGCAGCAGUGGGGAAUUUUGGACAAUGGGGGCAACCCUGAUCCAGCCAUGCCGCGUGAGUGAAGAAGGCCUUCGGGUUGUAAAGCUCUUUCGGCCGGGAAGAAAUCGUAUGGGCUAAUACCCUGUGCGGAUGACGGUACCGGCAUAAGAAGCACCGGCUAACUACGUGCCAGCCGCCGCCGUAA